UACGUAGGGGGCGAGCGUUGUCCGGAGUUACUGGGCGUAAAGCGCUUGUAGGCGGUCCACCAAGUUUGGGGUGACAGUUGCCGACUUAAUCGGCAAAGUGCCUCAAAGACUGGCGGACUUGAGGGCCACAGAGGGACAUGGAACUCCAGGUGUAGUGGUGAAAUGCGUAGAGAUCGGGAGGAACACCAGUGGCGAAGGCGGCUACCUGGACCAGCACUGACACUGAGGCACGAAAGCGUGGGGAGCAAACAGG
rnacentral:rRNA from 1 species